rnacentral:rRNA from 1 species
UACAGAGGGGGGCGAGCGUUUGUUCGGAAUUACUGGGCGUAAAGGGCGCGUAGGCGGCCUUCUAAGUCGAACGUGAAAUCCCCGGGCUCAACCCGGGAACUGCGUCCGAUACUGGGAGGCUUGAAUCCGGGAGAGGGAUGUGGAAUUCCAGGUGUAGCGGUGAAAUGCGUAGAUAUCUGGAGGAACACCGGGUGGCGAAGGCGGCAUCCUGGACCGGUAUUGACGCUGAGGCGCGAAAAGCCAGGGGGAGCAAACGGG